rnacentral:lncRNA from 1 species
GAAUGGAUUACAAGGGGACAAGUUGGUUGGAGCUACCGGUGGCACACCAGGGAUGGGGGAAUCUGAUUUUUUUUUUCUUUUUCAAUUUUAAAAGAUAUACAAUUUUUGUUAUAAUGAUUUUUCCAUUUUUAAAAAUAGAAAGACUAAAAUACCCUUAAAAUAGAUGGAAAAUUGGAUGGUAUUAAAGUCAGAUGACAAAUCAUGAAUUUUGAAAAAUUAAGGUGACA